rnacentral:lncRNA from 1 species
CGUUUUCACUGGCCUUGAGACAGUGAGUAACAAAUCAGUUAUCAUAACAGGAGUACAGUGCUGUGCUUUCACACACAUUCUAGUUUUGAAGAUUUGCUGACGUUUAUGAUGUGUACUGCCUGCAUGCCUGGCCUCAGAUACCCAGAACUAGAGUUAGGAUGUUAUAAGCCAUUGUCGGUUUUGGGAACCAACUUGGGUUCUACCCAGGAACAGCAAGUGUUCUUAACCACUGAGCCACCUCUAACCCCUGGAAUCAUUUGCAUUAAAAAUGUUCUAAGGAGGGGCUGGGGAUUUAGCUCAGUGGUAGAGCGCUUACCUAGGAAGCGCAAGGCCCUGGGUUCAGUCCCCAGCUCCGGAAAAAAAAGAAAAAAAAA